UGAAAACACAGUUAGAAAAUUUUAUCGAAAAUGCAGUGUAAAAAAAUUAAAAUUUUUAAAAAUAAAUUUUGUUAAUUGUUUCAAGAUCUAAACUCUAUUUAUUCCUAACGGAACAUUCUAGCCUUAAAGGAGAUGCAAACAUAAAAAAUUCUCAUACAUAGGGGUAUGCACCCCUCAGGAAAGCCCCAAAAAAAUAACAUAGGAACAAAUGCCCACAGAAAACUAGAAAAAUAAAUGGAAAAUGCUAAAAAGAAAAAGUAUUUGAUAACUAUUUGAAUUCCAUAACACUUCCUCAAAUCCAUAUAAUCAUGAUUGAAAUGAAUACGCAUCAGUUGCGCAGCUACAGUCCGAAGUCCAAAUAACUUUUCCACACGACUUUCGAGAACAAGAAAUACCAAUUUUGUGUCAAGACAAAGGAAUCGUCAGUACACAAAGUAACGGAAUAUUGGAAACGAUGAAUCACGGAUUAACGAUGAAAUACACGCACAAAUCAAUCAAAUCACGAAACACCUCUAACCCACCCCAACCCAAUCACCAGUCACCAUACAAGCCGCACAUGUUCCACUAUUAAUUCGCGUGCCACGUGACGCUGCAUGUUUUCUGUUCGUGCGGUUCACGUGCGCACGGCGAAUUUGCCAUCACUAAUCGUUCGUAAAGAGAAGUUACUCGGCCAAUGCGAUUUCAAGCUUACGGUACCGCGACCGCAUCAACUCUACACUCCCCCUCCCCCUCCAUGUUCACUCACACAAUGAACACAUAACACAACACCACGACCACCAUACUUCUAUACACACACACACACACACACACACACACACACACACACACACACACACCUACACGCACACGAAUGUAGACUUUACCAAGGGUGUACACUGUCGUAGCAUACCAUAAAAUCGUCAAAUGAUUGUUAAACAAAACAAAUGUUCCCGUCCAAUAAGAAUACCUUAACUCAAACCUCUCUUCGUUUCUUCAAGCAAGCAGGCAUAAGCAAUUUCGUACAUCCCGAGGUCGGCGCGUAGGAUUUGCGUACUUGAAAGCGACAUUGGCCCAUCCGGUUUGCUGCACUUGUCAAUCGUUUGAACUAUAUGCUUAACUUUCAAAAUAUAUAUAUACAACACGACUUGUAUUCAAAGUA